CGGGCUUAGCGGCGGACGGGUGAGUAACGCGUGGGAACGUACCCAUUCCUGCGGAAUAGGCCCUGGAAACGGGGUUUAAUACCGCAUACGCCCUUCGGGGGAAAGAAUUUCGGGGAUGGAUCGGCCCGCGUUGGAUUAGGUAGUUGGUGGGGUAAUGGCCUACCAAGCCGACGAUCCAUAGCUGGUUUUAGAGGAUGAUCAGCCACACUGGGACUGAGACACGGCCCAGACUCCUACGGGAGGCAGCAGUGGGGAAUCUUAGACAAUGGGGGCAACCCUGAUCUAGCCAUGCCGCGUGUGUGAUGAAGGUCUUAGGAUCGUAAAGCACUUUCGCCGGGGAAGAUAAUGACGGUACCCGGUAAAGAAACCCCGGCUAACUCCGUGCCAGCAGCCGCGGUAAUACGGAGGGGGUUAGCGUUGUUCGGAAUUA
rnacentral:rRNA from 1 species